rnacentral:rRNA from 1 species
UACGGAGGGGGCUAGCGUUGUUCGGAAUUACUGGGCGUAAAGCGCACGUAGGCGGCUUGGUAAGUUAGAGGUGAAAGCCUGGAGCUCAACUCCAGAAUUGCCUUUAAGACUGCCGAGCUAGCAGGUGAGAGAGGUGAGUGGAAUUCCGAGUGUAGAGGUGAAAUUCGUAGAUAUUGGGAAGAACACCGGUGGCGAAGGCGGCGAGCUGGCCUGUUACUGACGCUGAGGCGCGACAGCGUGGGUAGCAAACAGG